AUUGAACGCUGGCGGCAUGCCUUACACAUGCAAGUCGAACGGCAGCACGGGAGCAAUCCUGGUGGCGAGUGGCGAACGGGUGAGUAAUAUAUCGGAACGUGCCCAGUCGUGGGGGAUAACGUAGCGAAAGCUACGCUAAUACCGCAUACGAUCUAUGGAUGAAAGCGGGGGAUCGCAAGACCUCGCGCGAUUGGAGCGGCCGAUAUCAGAUUAGGUAAGUUGGUGAGGUAAAGGCUCACCAAGCCGACGAUCUGUAGCUGGUCUGAGAGGAUGAUCAGCCACACUGGGACUGAGACACGGCCCAGACUCCUACGGGAGGCAGCAGUGGGGAAUAUUGGACAAUGGGCGAAAGCCUGAUCCAGCAAUGCCGCGUGAGUGAUGAAGGCCUUCGGGUUGUAAAGGUACUCUUUUUA
rnacentral:rRNA from 1 species